rnacentral:tRNA from 1 species
UGGCUCAGUGGCAGAGCGCUUGCCUUGCAUGCAUGAGGCCUUGGGUUCGAUUCCUCA